GGUUAAAACUCAAAUGAAUUGACGGGGGCCCGCACAAGCGGUGGAGCAUGUGGUUUAAUUCGAUGCAACGCGAAGAACCUUACCUACUCUUGACAUCCAGAGAACUUAGCAGAGAUGCUUUGGUGCCUUCGGGAACUCUGAGACAGGUGCUGCAUGGCUGUCGUCAGCUCGUGUUGUGAAAUGUUGGGUUAAGUCCCGCAACGAGCGCAACCCUUAUCCUUUGUUGCCAGCGGUCCGGCCGGGAACUCAAAGGAGACUGCCAGUGAUAAACUGGAGGAAGGUGGGGAUGACGUCAAGUCAUCAUGGCCCUUACGAGUAGGGCUACACACGUGCUACAAUGGCAUAUACAAAGAGAAGCGACCUCGCGAGAGCAAGCGGACCUCAUAAAGUAUGUCGUAGUCCGGAUUGGAGUCUGCAACUCGACUCCAUGAAGUCGGAAUCGCUAGUAAUCGUGGAUCAGAAUGCCACGGUGAAUACGUUCCCGGGCCUUGUACACACCGCCCGUCACACCAUGGGAGUGGGUUGCAAAAGAAGUAGGUAGCUUAACCUUCGGGAGGGCGCUUACCACUUUGUGAUUCAUGACUGGGGUGAAGUCGUAACAAGGUAACCGUAGGGGAACCUGCGGUUGGAUCACCUCCUUACCUUAAAGAA
rnacentral:rRNA from 1 species